GAUCCUGGCUCAGGAUGAACGCUAGCGACAGGCCUAACACAUGCAAGUCGAGGGGCAGCGGAGAGGUAGCAAUACCUUUGCCGGCGACCGGCGCACGGGUGAGUAACACGUAUGCAAUCCACCUGUAACAGGGGGGAUAACCCGGAGAAAUCCGGACUAAUACCCCAUAAUAUGGGUUCUCCGCAUGGAGGGUCCAUUAAAGAGAGCAAUUUUGGUUACAGACGAGCAUGCGCUCCAUUAGCCUAGG
rnacentral:rRNA from 1 species